UAUGCAAACUCCAUGGAUUCAACAUGUAAAUUUAAUUUGUCAGUUUAUAAAAAACUUCAAAAUUUUAUGUAAAGUCGAUAAUAUUUGUAAUACACUAGAAUAUAGAUAAUAAUGGAUGAAUAUAAUGCAAAUGAACAAUUCCUCACUACGUAUCAAGCCUAUUACAAUAAACCAAUUGAGCAUUUUUCUCAAAAAACGGAAAGAAUUCCAAUAAUAAUGAGAAACUAUGACCAUGUCAAAUAUCUACUGAGAUCUUCAGAACCACACCGUUGGAAUCCAGAUUUAUACCACUGAUCAACGUUAAUGUUUUGUUUCGUGUGAUGUAGGGCUUUUAUUUUUAAUAAGAGCGGAUUUACGAGUAGACCAAUUAUAUUCAUCUUGUAUAUCAGUCCAAUUCUGUUAAUUAAAAACGACCAAAUGACCAACGAA